CUUUAUUCAAGGUGAUCACAGUAAGAGUCAAGGCUUAACAGUAGGGAACAGAUAUUGAACUCCACUCCACUGAAACAAAAGGCCAGAGAGUUUUCAAGUGUUGAGUGACCCAAAGAAAACAAUUGGUGGAUGGAAUUAUGAAGAAGAAUGAGGGGAACAUAGCAUAAUGGAAAAUGCUUGCACUUCAGCUCUUGUCAAGAUCACGGUCCUACCAUUUGUUGCCUCUGCAAUCCUGGGCAAGUUGCUUCACCCUUGUGUGUUUUGGCUGGCAUAGCUACAGUUAUUGAAAAAGUUGUAUGAAGAUCACCCACCAGGACUGUGAAUUUGUCCAUUAUUUCAAUAAUCUGAUACAAAUAUAAUAAUCCUGCUACUCCAUAAUGCUGCCAAAAUGACUUCUAAGAAGUAAAAUCUUUUUAUUUUAUUAUAGUGUUUUAUUGACAUCAAAGAUAUCAAUUGUAAGAUGUACUAUUAUUUUAUGUACUAUAAAGAAAGAAAAAUCUUGCUAAAUAAAAUCUUUCAUAAUACCAGAAUGAAAA